rnacentral:rRNA from 1 species
UACAGAGGGUGCAAGCGUUAAUCGGAAUUACUGGGCGUAAAGCGAGCGUAGUCGGUUAUUUAAGUCGGGUGUGAAAGCCCCGGGCUCAACCUGGGAAUUGCAUUCGAUACUGGAUAGCUAGAGUUCGGCAGAGGGAAGCGGAAUUCCUGGUGUAGCGGUGAAAUGCGUAGAUAUCAGGAGGAACACCUGCGGUGUAGACGGCUUACUGGACGGUAACUGACGCUGAGGCACGAAAGCGUGGGUAGCAAACAGG